rnacentral:rRNA from 1 species
GGACUACCGGGGUUUCUAAUCCUGUUCGCUCCCCUAGCUUUCGCACCUGAGCGUCAGUGACCAGCCAGGACACUGCCUUCGCCUUUGGUAUUCCUCCGGAUAUCUACGCAUUUCACCACUCCACCCGGAAUUCUAUGUCCCUCUCUGGUCCUCAAGUCUUCCAGUUUUUGAAGACCUUGCUCAGUUAAGCCGAGCACUGUCACUCCAAACUUCGAAGACCGCCUGCGUGCGCUUUACGCCCAGUAACUCCGGACAACGCUCGCCCCCUACGUAUUACCGCGGCUGCUGGCAC